rnacentral:lncRNA from 1 species
GGCUCAGCGCAGGCACCCGGCGGCCGUCCUCACCGCGGGCCGGGACCCGAGCAGGUGCGGCGGGUCGGGGUGCUGCCCGCUGCCCCACCUCACCCAUCCCCGGGCGGCGCUGAGCGCGUCCCGCAGCGGCUGGCUGCCCGCCGGCCCGGCACCCCGCGGGAAGGCGGCACCCCGGCGUUCCCCCUGGCUGCCAGCGGAGCCCCGCGCACCACCGCCGCCGCAACAGCAGCAGCGCGGCCCCGGCUGGGCCCCGCAGCGCCUUACCUCCGCCGGCGCCCGGGUGAUGCGGAGCGGCUCCCGUUGCCGCGCAGCUCUCACCGAACCCCGCAGCCCAAAUGGCCGCUGCCGCCGCGGCGGUGCGCGGUGCCGCCCGUUCCUGCGGCAGGACCGCCGCCGCCGGCUGAAUGUCCAGAGCCUGUCCUGAGAAGUGUGUGGUAUAUCCAGGCCACCCAAAAAACAUCAAGGAUUUGCAUCUCAUUCUGUUCAUGUCAGACCCAGAUGGACUGCACCUGGCCAGGAAAUUAAGAGCCUUGAAGAACAAUGGCAUCCACUGAGGAUGAAGAUAUGGUGAUGAAAUAAUUGUUUCUCAGUUUAAUUGGAGUUGAAGCAGAAAAGAUUCAUGUCUUGCUCUCCUGUAAUAUUCAUCAAAAAACAUCAUCUGCUUGUACAGCCUGGGGCAUGUGGAAGGAGUCUGUUUUUAAAAGCAUAUUUGGAAACAUUUCACAUUUGGGGCAGUUUGUAUCUCUUUCUGAAAGUAAGGCCCUUUCAAAAUCACAUACUCAAUUGAACUUCAGAAACUGGUUGCUUUCAGAAGUGUUGGCCUUGAUUUCAACUUUAGCAUAAAUCUCCUGGGAUUUGUUUGGAUUUCUUUGGAUUGUGUGCCGUUUGCAAAUUCACUUCAAACUUAGCUGAUUCAUUUAAAUUAUUCUUGACUGGUUUCUAAGAGGGCUUUGGAGUCAUUUAGUACUCCUGAACUGACAAAUCAGAUUGGUUCCCAACGAGGACUGAUGAGGAUCUACAUACACAUACAACACAGCAUCACAUGGCAUAGCAUGCCAUCGUACUGUAUGACAAUAUCAAGCAUUUACUGGGCAUGAACAAGUACAGUGUCUCUUAACUCUGUCCUUUUGACUAUGCAGGUCAAAAACCUACACUGUUGUAGCAUUUUCUUAACUAUUUCAUAUUAAGAAGCCAUAAAAAUAGCAUUAUUAAGUACUAUUUGUACAUCAUAAAUAAGCCUGUAAAGCAGUUAAGUCCUACAUUUUUGUUAAAAAAUGAUAGCAUUUUAUGUUCUAUUAACAGCUCUCAUAGGAAUUUAUUUAAAACACACUGUAAAGCCCUGUCCAACAGGACACAGUUUUGAUACUUGUUAAAAGUGGCAGUAUUUGCUGGGGUGGCCCACUCUUUUUCAAGUAUAAAAAUGGAACAUCAAAAUGGAAAUGUCAAAGGAAAAGUGAAAACAAACUAACACUCACAAAACACAAUGAUAGAUCCAGACAAAAGCUCAUUGAAUGGUGGGAGAUUGCGUACAAAAGAGUUUGCAAAGAGCGUCAGUGGCCCCGGUAGCACAAAAAAUACACAGCUUCUCUUCAAAAUUAUCUACUGUGAGCAGAUUUGGAAGGAAGCAAGUCUAGCUCUAUACUUUUAAUAGGUGAUCCCAGAAUUGACAGAAUUUGGGAACAUGAGAAAAAUAGGCAGCUAGUCCAUUAAAUAAUUAUCUGAAGGAAUAUCUAAUUUCCCUACAAGCAAUGCUCUGUUCUCUUUGACCUCAUUCCCACCACUGUCUUCCGUAAUUUUCCACAACAUAAGCUCUUGUCAUUUUUGUUUAUUUCUUGUUUGAGGGAGGAAAUUUGUAUCAUAACUAAUUUUACAAAACAGGGAUAACAUCUUUAUAUUUCUAGACAAUAAAUGAUUUUUUUACAAAAAAUCA